AUUGAACGCUGGCGGCAUGCCUUACACAUGCAAGUCGAACGGUAACAGGGAGCUUGCUCCGCUGACGAGUGGCGAACGGGUGAGUAAUGCGUCGGAACGUGCCGAGUAGUGGGGGAUAACGCAUCGAAAGGUGUGCUAAUACCGCAUACGUACUGAGGUAGAAAGUGGGGGACCUUCGGGCCUCACGCUAUUCGAGCGGCCGACGUCUGAUUAGCUAGUUGGUGAGGCAAAGGCUCACCAAGGCGACGAUCAGUAGCGGGUCUGAGAGGAUGGUCCGCCACACGGGGACUGAGACACGGCCCAGACUCCGACGGGAGGCAGCAGUGGGGAAUUUUGGACAAUGGGCGCAAGCCUGAUCCAGCCAUGCCGCGUGUCUGAAGAAGGCCUUCGGGUUGUAAAGGACUUUUGUCCGGGAGCAAAUGCUGGUGGCUAACAUCCACCGGAGCUGAGAGUACCGGAAGAAUAAGCACCGGCUAACUACGUGCCAGCAGCCGCCGUAACAC
rnacentral:rRNA from 1 species